UUCCUUUGGCAAUUUGCCUGCUGUCCUUCCUAUUUUCUCCCCUUCUCUCUCUCACUGUCUGCCUCUCUCUUUCGUACCUGGCACUGAAUGGAACGGUAUUUUAAUGACAAUAACAAUAUUCAGGCUGCUUUGUUUUUGGCUUGCUUGCUAGUUCUCUCUAUCACCUGUUCUUCUUUGCAGUGCAGUUUUUGUUGGUACAGUGAUUACUCGAUUCGGUGAAUUGUAUAGACCGAGGGUGUUUACUGUACCAAAGUGAUAAUUGUGCACCUAGAUUUUCAUACAAAAAUUAUGUUUACAACUCACAAGCAAAAAACAUAGAGCAUUGCAUUUUGGAAAUAGGAAACAGGCGUUUUUGCAUUGCAUUUCGUUACUCAUUUAUUGCGUGAACCUUUUUUACGCUUUGUUGGUUUUCAAAAACGAUACAACAGCAAAAACCAACACAGAAAAUCAAUUUACGAGCCAUUUAAGCAAAUUGCAAGUUUCCUUUUCCGACGAACUGUUCAAUAUGCAUUGUGAAACCGAAAACAAUACAAAAUGCAGGAAAAAAGGGAUCACACAGGGUGUCAAAUAAUCCCACGCACUUCCAAGUAAACUGGGUCUUUUUCUUUUUACCCGCAACGGAUUUGAACUCGGUACCUAAAUGAGAUUCAAGUGCAACUUGGUUAUUGCUCUUUAUCUUUCGCCCCUUCUUCUUUGCUCAUCUCUUCGCAUUUUCGGGAGAGAGAGGAGGUAUGCAUACAAAUUUAAUAAAUGGAAAUACCAAAGCGCACACGCAAGCCAAAGCAGCAACAGCAAAAAACAAACACGCCUUUGUUUUUAUUUCGAGUAUUUUAUAUUUUAUUGUGUAAGCCAGACAAUUGAAAAGUGUCUUGAAGCGCAAGUCGCAGUUUGCAUAAAUCAAGAUUCAUAUGCUGCUCAUUCAACUACGCAAAAUAGUCGCACACUCGCCUAAUAGCCUUAAAUGGGCAGGAAAUAAUACGAGUCUGUGAAAAUAAAAUCUCAGAUCGUAAGAGUAUAGUCAUCUAUUGAAACUUAUUCAUAGUAAAAUACAGCGCGUUCUAGAAAUAGGAGAAUAUUGAAAUAUUCAUACAUAUAUGAGAAAGUAUAAAAUGGUUAUUCUAGUUGAAAACACCUUUUUCCAGGUUCGUAAACAGAAUGAAUGUGAAUCCCCCCACAUAGACAAAUGAAAAUCCCCCUGUAGACCUACAAUAAUUUCUAUUUUUAAAUGCAAAACUUAGUGGGAGAGACGCCACACGCGGCGCAAAGUCAUUAACAACAAUUUGAUUUCGAACCCAGAAGACGGCAUGUGACUAGAUUGGAUUCGUCGAUAAUGUCCGAAAGUACAUAUGUAUGGGUAUGGGAAAAUGUGUAGGAGAUACUCAUUCUGUCUAUAAACAAUCAUUAGUGCGGCUCUAUAAACAAAAUACAAAACUGUACCGAAACCGGUUAAGAAUUCUACGAAAAACCGCAUGCUACAUUAUACCAAAAACGCGAAAUAUUUUGCUCCGCCUAUUUUUGUCUUCUUUCUCAAUGUUUUUUAUGCUCGACUUCCUCUUUCGACAAGUAGAUUUUGUUGUUUUCUUUUUUGCCUUCGAUUUGCCAAUGAUUUAUCAAUGAGCAUUUGGUGUUCUUUUUUUUUUAUUUUGCGCGUGCAAAAUUCCUUAUCUAAAGAGAUGUUUUCAAGUUGAUGACGCCAAACAAUAGACAAAGAAUAGGCACCGCGUCGAUGUCGCAAAGUCUAUUUAACCAAAAACGUGUGUCUUAACAGAUGUUUUUUUGUAAACAAUUCCACACGCGUCAGUUAACUCAAAAAAGAUGGUCAUUUGCGUGGUACGGAUUUGUUUUUUCGAGCCCCAAACUUUCUUAUUUCAUACCAAUCCCCAUCAAAGCGUCACUUAUCGAUUAGAUGAUAAUUGGUUUAUUAAAAAAACAAAGGGACCGUUUUUUUAACCAUAGUAAUGAAAAGCUUUGUAGCAAUUUAAAAAUAAAUUAGUAGCCUUGCCCCAUUUGAUAAUUAGAUUAGCAAAGGAAACUUUGUGUGCAGGUGAAUUUGAUAAAAAUUAUAAAUGACUAAUAAAGUCGGCUAUCUCAGGGCUCAGUUACGUAAGCAAGGUGAGAGUACGGGUAUCGCGAAUUAGAGAACUCCAUCGAGGCGUCUAUGAAUCAGAAAAUCGUGUCCGCAAAGUGACUCAACGUCUACUCUAUAUAUGUAAAAAUAUAUCGUAAAGGUGUCUCCAAAAAGUGUAUUAUGAUAUUCUUUAUGCUUAUCUUUUAUUGCGAAUACGAACUUGUGCUUAUAUCGCAAGAUAUACAAUACAAAGUUCAUAAGCAAACCGAUAAAAACUGCAUUUAAUACUACAUAGCACUCUUCACAUUUGAUGAAUAAGCUUGCUCUCAUUUAUUAUUGAAUUUACUUUUCAUUUUGUUUGCGCCUCCAAAACAAUUACAACUUUCUCUGAUCAAAAAAAAAAAAAAAAAAAUCUCAAAGUGGCAGCGGUGGGAUUCGAACCCACGCCUCCGAGGAGACUGGUGCCUUAAACCAGCGCCUUAGACCGCUCGGCCACGCUACCCAUAAUCGCGGUCCGGCAGAAGUGCUUGUGAUCGCAAGUGCUAUGUUUAUAGUUACUAUUUUUAUAGCAAAAAUAACGAAAACAAUUGUAGGAAAUAAUAAUAAAUACUUACAAAGCAGUUGGGAUUGCACUUGCAUAAACAAACUGUCUCUUUCAGAAGGUUUAUUUUCUCAAUUAACUGGACGUUUUGUAACCUUUUGGGCGAGUGCAAUCCCCCGGGUUUCCUCAACCAUCAGUAUCAUCAUCAUCAUUAUUGUCAUCAUCAUCAUUAUCUUUAUAGUCGAUGGCGCACAACAAAGUUGCUACUUUCGAAGAGCGGUUACCGCACUCAAUUGCCAUGCAUUUUCAGCCUUAAUGAAUUCAGUUUGGAUCGGCUUUGUUUGGUCGUCGGAAUUGUUAAUGACAUUCAAUGAUUGCGCUUGUUUAUGUAGUUGAACUUAGGCAGUCAUAUCCUGCUUUAUCAAAUCAGCAGAGAUACGAUUUUACAGAGGCAAUCUUAUCAGUCAUGAACUUGUACUUGCAGUUAAGGUAAUACUUUAUUUAAACAGCUAUUAGAUUAGUAUGGACUCAAAAUGAGUUUGGUUGACCUUUGAUCUGAAUUGCCUGGUCAUAAAGAGAAAGUCGAGAACUUGACUUAGCAUAGCAAUUGAAAAUAAUUUGUUCUAAGUGGGUCAGGCACACGAGAGUUCCACACAAAAAAAAAAAGAACCCAUAAUAUUCAACACAGAAGUUUUCCUGAUUUAUGUGGCUCGCUGUCGUUCGUUUUAUACGUACAUAGUUGACAUAACUCCAAUUAAAAAAGCAAAAACUUUAUGCGGUCAAUUGCAAUUGUCAAGCUACGUUGACUUAAUUUUCGGGUCGUCAGACAUUCACUCACGCAUCGCCGUUGAGUUUUCCUUUAUAUAACCAUCUUUUUGACCUACCAGCCAAGACUUUCUCAGCAGUUCCAGCUUUGGUUAUUUUCCCCUUGGCUUGCGGUUUUUUACAUACAAUUGUCGCAUUUUUUUCGGCCGAUGACGUCUAUUUCCGCUUGAGUUGAAUGUCCUACGAGUUCCUGAGGCUUCCUUAUUUUUUUUUCUGUUGCGCAAGUCAAGUCGAUGUGGGUUUCCAUUACAGUUUCUCCUUUGCGAUUCUGCCCAAGUCUGGCCAGGAAAGUGGGGUGGUUCCGGCAGGAGCUGGGGAGAAAGCUGUCACCAGCAGAUUUAGGUCAGGUCGACCUACUCGGCAUCACGCCACCGGCACAAAGGGCAGCUGGCGUCAUUGCGGAACUGGCGGAACUCCGAGCGGAACGGGAGGGAGUGUCGUGGCCAAAGGGGUGUCCAAAGUAGGGAGUAUAUUGUGGAAAGUGGCUGGGACAAGCGAAUAAGCUGAUCCUGGGAUAUCUAAUAAUGAGCUUGGGUGGUGGUGACUUUGAAGGGAAACUGGCAGAUGCAAACGAUUAUUUUAUACUAGGGUGCUGCUUUUCAUUUUCCUAAUUAUUUCUAUUAAUGAGCGCUGUUUGCUGAAGACUUAUGUACGUGUUACUAGCCAAACAAUCGCCAUUCUCGAAUUUCCAAAACGUGGGCGGCGCCCUCAUGUCUGACGAAUUGUUUUGGAUCCUAACGAGCCGCACUCACGUCAUCUUCUUGGUGGCAGUUGCCUAGCCAAGCGACGCUCCUGGCUAUAACCUUUCGCAUUUGAUUGGCUUUAUUCAUAGUCUGUGACUCAGGCUGAACUCUAGACGCCCUUUAACAGCGCGAUUCUGACGAAUGCAAAAUGAGCGCACAUCGCGUGAUUUGGUUAAGUUUUUUUUGGGCCAGGCCUCGUUCCAUUUGGUUUUGACCCCGUUGGAAGCUUUAAAUUGAACGCAUAAAAUCAAUAACUGGAGGAAAGUUCCACUCACUCAUAGAGUUAUGUU